rnacentral:rRNA from 1 species
UACGUAGGGUGCGAGCGUUAAUCGGAAUUACUGGGCGUAAAGGGUGCGCAGGCGGCCGCGCAAGUCGAGUGUGAAAGCCCCGGGCUUAACUUGGGAAUUGCGCUCGAAACUACGUGGCUGGAGUGUGGCAGAGGAAGGUGGAAUUCCACGUGUAGCGGUGAAAUGCGUAGAUAUCUGGAGGAAUACCGGUGGCGAAGGCGGCAUCCUGGACCGGCAUUGACGCUGAUGAGCGAAAGCUAGGGGAGCAAACGGG